UCUUUGUACAAACUUAAGGCUGCGUUUCCACCAGAAAUGUGUUGCGACUUGCGAGGAAUAUGUGUUUAAGAUCCAAUAGAAUCGCUACGCUGAGCGAGGUCACAGCAAGCUCAUGUCAAUGAAGCGAUUCUAUUGGCUCUCAAAAGCACAUUCCUUGCAACAC